rnacentral:rRNA from 1 species
GUCAGAGUUUGAUCCUGGCUCAGAUUGAACGCUGGCGGCAUGCUUUACACAUGCAAGUCGAACGGUAACAGGCCGCAAGGUGCUGACGAGUGGCGAACGGGUGAGUAAUGCAUCGGAACGUGCCCAGUCGUGGGGGAUAACGCAGCGAAAGCUGCGCUAAUACCGCAUACGAUCUAUGGAUGAAAGCGGGGGACCGUAAGGCCUCGCGCGAUUGGAGCGGCCGAUGUCCGAUUAGCUAGUUGGUGGGGUAAUGGCUCACCAAGCCGACGAUCUGUAGCUGGUUUGAGAGAACGACCAGCCAC